GCCAGUGUGGCAUUGUAGUUUGAGUGUUGGACUAUGACUCUGGAGACCAGGGUUCGAAUCCCAGCUCCACCA